AUGCCCGCGUUUUGGAUCCGAGACAGACGGUUGCGAUUGCCUCACGUGCGAUUGGGAUUGUCACAAGUGGAUGCAAAGUUAAUGUGUACGGAGGACAACCACAGUGACACAGCGCAACACACCCUCAAGAUUCUGGUUGUACAUGGAGCUGAUGGAAAGGAUCCAGUGGAUGUAUCCAUUAUUCUUGAAGGCAAGGAGAUAUUGCCGGGAUGCCAAAAUACUGCUAAAGCUUGUGCCCUGCUUAUGGGACUCAUUUAUGCCCUCAACCUUGCAUACCCCAGAGCACUGCGUUACACUUUCGAGGUGUUUCAGAAACUUUUUCUAGAAUUAGAUGUUAUUAAGCUCUCUACAAAAGUACAAGCUUUUAAGUCGAAGUUGUUUUAUUAAAUGCUAUUGCCAUUGCAAGUACUGCACAUUUUUGGUUACCAGUACUCCCCAACUAAGUUUGAAAUCUUCCAGGUUCUAUUGGACUAUUUGCACAGACAUAAUGUUUCUCUGAUCACUUGUGUACAUAAUUAGCAGUUUUGCUUUUGAAUUUAGUUUAACCAUUGUGAACAGUGGUGGUAAGACACUUGCCUGUUUUCUGCUUUGUGCCAACUAAGGCAUCUGGUCUUUUUUUCUUUAUUGUCAUGUUUAGAGCACUAGUCAAGAGCGCCAUGUUAGUUGUUGAAACGGCAUUGUUUUAGACUUUUUUAAAAUUUAACAGAAUUCGUAAAAGCACUACUCAUUAUCAGUAGGAUGCAGUCUCUUUUAAGAAAUUAUUUUUGACAUUAUUUAGCAAAAUUGCUUUAUAUAGAAAUAUUGACAUCUUUAACUGUUAAACAAAAUGUUUUUAUGCAUUUAAUGUUGUAAUGUUUAGAGCACAAGUACAGAGUGCUAUGUUGAAUGUUGAAACUGCACUGUUUGAGAGGAUUGUUACUUUUAUUGAAAUAGUAAAUGUUGUAUCCAUGCAUUAUAUCCAUGAGGUUUAAACCUCAUCCCAUGUUUUUGUAUACCUCUUGGGGUUAAAACACUUUAUGAUCUUGACAAAUUAAAUUGUUUUCAGGACUCAAAUCCCUAAGGAAACAGUUGUUAUUUAAAAAACUUAGGUUUUGCUUUAUGUAACUUCAAAAGGUUACAUUUUGACUGAGUCAUUGUUUAAUGUUGGAACAAAAUAAAUGUUUAUUGCAUCUAUGGUGUGUGGUUUAUUA
rnacentral:lncRNA from 1 species